GACCAGGGAGGAAGUGACGCCCCAUUUCCUGACCAUCCUCUGCUCUGAGAGGUUCUCUUCUGUCUCUUUGUCUUUCUGACCCCGUCCCUCCCAGGGCUUUGUUUUCACUCAGGACAACAGCCUGCUGCAUCCUGGCCCCGCGGCAUGGACUCCCGGCAGCCCUGAGCCCCAGGUGGAGGCCAACAAAACAAACAGACCUUUCAAUAUUGACUCUCCCGGGCUCCACAGAAGGCUAUCAUCUGUCCUGCCUCCCAGAGCCUCGCCAGCAAAGGCGAAACCAAACAAGAUGGUCAGAGCGUGAGAGGGCUGGGCACGCUGCCCAUGAAGCAGACUCCAGAAGCGAUGGCCCUGGGUUUCCACACUGUCCACCUUUCUCCUGCUGGAUCACCUGGCCUUGGUGGGAAGGAGACAUUUUCUCUAAGAUCUCAGGGCCCAAUUCAGGUUGCAUGAUCAUCACUGGGCUUGAAAAAGAAAAGAAGCAGCAAGAGUGAACUUCAUCACUCAGAUGGUGUCAUGGUUAAAGAACCAGAAGAGAGCUAAAAGCAGUGCCAACCCCAUGAUCGUAGACGAUGUAACUAUGGUCCAGGAUGACUUGAUCAAAGCUGUGGGGAUGGGAUUCCUCCUGGGCUCCACUGUAGGACUGCAUCCGGUCCCCAGGUCUUGAAAGUGGCCUCUCAGGGACUUCCCCCGUGGUCCAGUGGCUGAGACGCCACACUCCCAAGGCAGGGGGCCUGGCUUCGAUCCCUGGUCAGGGACGUAUUAACAGAUUCCGCAAACUGCGACUAGAGAGCCCACAUCGUUCCGUGAACACCCUGCAUGCCAAAACCAAGACCAGGUGCAGCCAAAUAGAUGAAGAAAUGCUGUCUUUCCGUGGUGUACAUGUACUGCAACUUAGAUAUAGUGUAUUAACAUGGAUAAAUGGAAUCCAGAAAGAUGGUACUGAUGGACAUAUUCACAGGGCAGCGGACAUAGAGAACAGUCUUGUCAGAAGGAGAGGGUGGAACAAACGGAGAGCGUAGCGUGGAAACACACACACUACCGCGUGUAAAAUAGACAGCCAGGGGAAUGUGCUGUAUGAUGCAGGGGGCGCAACCUCGUGCUCUGUGACAACCCAGAGGAGGUAGCCUGGGGAUGGGGGGUGGGAGCGCGGUUCCGGAGGGAGGGGACGUAUGUACACCUAUGGCUGAUUCAUGUUGCUAUAUGGCAGAAGCCAACACACUAUUGUAAAGCAAUUCACCUCCAAUUAAAAAUAAAUUAAAAAAAAAUUUUUUUAA